rnacentral:rRNA from 1 species
GCCAGCCCGCUCAGAAACUUAAAGGAAGUUGACGGGGCCCGCGACAAGCGGUGGAGUAUGUGGUUAAUUCGAUGCAACGCGAAGAACCUUACCUGGUCUUGACAUCCCGGAGACCCUUAGGAAACUAGGGGUGCUUCCAUCUGGAAGAAUCUGGAGACAGGUGCUGCAUGGCUGUCGUCAGCUCGUGUCGUGAGAUGUUGGGUUAAGUCCCGCAACGAGCGCAACCCUUGCCUUUAGUUGCCAGGCAGUUCGGCUGGGCACUCUAAAGGGACUGCCGGUGUUAAACCGGAGGAAGGUGGGGAUGACGUCAAGUCCUCAUGGCCUUUAUGACCAGGGCUACACACGUACUACAAUGGCCGAUACAAAGGGCAGCGACACUGCGAGGUGAAGCCAAUCCCGUAAAAUCGGUCUCAGUCCGGAUUGGAGUCUGCAACUCGACUCCAUGAAGUUGGAAUCGCUAGUAAUCGUGAAUCAGGAUGUCACGGUGAAUACGUUCCCGGGCCUU